GAUUUUUAUGACAGUUUUGAGUAAACACAUCCAUUGGGACCCGAAAGAUGGUGAACUAUGCCUGAAUAGGGUGAAGUCAGAGGAAACUUUGAUGGAGGCUCGUAGCGGUUCUGACGUGCAAAUCGAUCGUAGAAUUUGGGUAUAGGGGCGAAAGACUAAUCGAACCAUCUAGUAGCUGGUUCCUGC
rnacentral:rRNA from 1 species